rnacentral:misc_RNA from 1 species
AAGGAUCAUUAAUGAGAACUUGCCCUUCGGGGUAGAUCUCCCACCCUAUGUUUACAUUACCUAUGUUGCUUUGGCAGGCCCGUCUUCGGACCACCGGCUUCGGCUGGUCAGCGCUUGCCAGAGGAUCUCAAACUCUAUAUUUCAUGUUGUCUGAGUAUUAUUUUAAUAAGUUAAAACUUUCAACAACGGAUCUCUUGGUUCUG